AAGAACUCAUAACGAGAAGUCUCUUAAAUUUACACACGCUUCGUCGAAGAGUAUACUAAAAGGCAUGAAGUGAAUGCCAAAGAUCAAAAACAGGUUGGCGGAGAUUAUUGGAGAUCAAUUUAGGAUAACGGUUCCACAAUCCUAAAAUCAGCAUGAGGGCAUGUUGUGAAAGAAAGUACUCACAGAGGUCCAGCACAUGGCAGAGUCGAGAUCCAUUUCAAAAUUGUGAUUUGCCAUAUUUAUGUAUUUGUGGAUCUAUGGCUAUCUAACUCAGAAUGAUAAUGACACGGGAGGGCCACAAUUCUUCAUCAUCACCAUCAGAGGGCUAUGUGACUGUGCACUUCAACCAGACGAAAACUGCGAGAAGCUACACAUUUUUGAUUUUGUUCGAUAUGAUUUCCUGUAUUCUGGUGCAUUUUGGGGAUGGCCACUACCUACAAAAUCUUCCAGAUUCAUAACCUAUGCACGGCAGGAGUGGCUAUUGGAGUGGAAUUGUGCGGUUUGACAAACAGGCCGCUAAAGAGAGAGGCCAACGGUGAGAUAUGCCAAAUACCAACCGAGAGGAGAUGUUGGAGGACUCCAUCCACUCAAACAUGGAGAUAGAUGGCUACCCGGACUGCCAUGAAUUUGUGUGGAGCUGCCUGGCCAAGCAACCUCAGGAACGUCUGCCCCUGGAUUGCCUGCUGGGCCAACCCUUGAUUGCAGUAAAGCAGACUGAUGAACCUCUGGACAUCACUGAGCUCAACGUUGCACUCCCUGGUGAAAAUGAAAUGUACCAAGUAUACUUAAUCUCAAUAUACUUAAUGUACUUACAGCACCCUUAAGUGUACUUCACACAUACUAAGUACACUUAAUUUCUAAGAUCAAGUUCACUUAAAAAGUGUGAAUAAUAUUUUGCUAGAAAUACACUUACAAAGCACACCAACCACAUAUUUCAAGAGCACUAUUAUAAAAGGUAUAAAACAAUAUUUCAAAUGCACUGAAGGAGUACUUGUCAUGUUGUCAGAUUAUAUAGAUUAAAUAUCAACAGCACCUUGAACACAAGUGUUUUUAAAGUUUUGUUUAAGCAUUAUUGAAGUGUAUGUGAAAUAUAUACUAUAUCCUAAGUGUCAUGGUACAUUGAAUUUGGUCUCUUUACAUUUCACUUUGAAUAUGUUCCUUCUAGAUCAGAAAUGUAUUUCAGGUGUUAUGAUAGAAUGAGACGAACCCAAGCGCAGACAACGGAUGUUGAAUUAAACCAGAGGUCUAUUGUAGUGAGGACGAGACCAUGGG
ensembl:lncRNA